rnacentral:rRNA from 1 species
UACGUAGGGUGCAAGCGUUAAUCGGAAUUACUGGGCGUAAAGCGUGCGCAGGCGGUUUUGUAAGACAGGCGUGAAAUCCCCGGGCUCAACCUGGGAAUGGCGCUUGUGGCUGCAAAGCUGGAGUGCGGCAGAGGGGGAGUGGAACUCCGCGUGUAGCAGUGAAAUGCGUAGAUAUGCGGAGGAACACCAGUGGCGAAGGCGGCCCUCUGGACUGCAACUGACGCUGAGACACGAAAGCGUGGGGAGCAAACAGGAUUAGAUACCCCUGUAGU